CUAACGCUGGCCUUAGAGUAAAAAGCUUUCACUCUUCUGGCCUCACGCUUUUCGCAUUCCGCAAGUCGCCUACGCUUAGUAAGCUUCACAGCCUUAACGGAGUUCACAGUCUUCACAUUGCUGUCGCUGCACAAGCACAACCACAUCCACCGUCGUCCGUCGCCAGGAGCCCAGUAUCCGCCUCGCCCUCGUCGGUCACAGCCAGCCAUCGCCGAGUCGCCCGUCUUACCUUGCGAUGGCCGAUUCGCCGGUCACCGCCGGGCUCGCAGCGUCGGAACACCAAGCCUAAAACUGCUAACACUUUGCAUUAUCAUCGGUGGGGCACUAUUCCGUGUAUCCGAUCUCCAACUCGGAGAAUAUCUUACGGUUUAGCCCGCACUGAAUCCUUAACCUCCCAUGCACAUUUCCAAUCUUAGGUACACUCAGUAGAAUGGCGAUGGUUUUAGACGUGAAAGACGUGAGAGAAUGGUCUUAUAGAGGCGAAGGAGCUGUCAAUCUGGUUCUUUCCUAUCGCGGAACCUCUCCACAUUUUGUUGGAAAAGUUUUGAGGAUACAAAAGGUUCCAACAAAUGGGUCUGAAUAUGAGAAUGGUCAUCCAGGUCUAUCCAUGCAUGAAAUCAUCCUUUGGAAAGAUGUGAAAGAGCUUGCAUCAGCCCCUACUAGGGAGAUUGCAGAGCACUUCUUUGUCCAGCAUGUAAUGUGCCCAUUAUUGGGUUCUGAGCAUGUUGAUGCUGGGAUUCGCAUCCUUGUAUCCAGAGAAUUUCUAGAGGAAGUUGAAAAGAAUGUCCUUCGCAAGCGCCCCACUUGGCGGGUUGAUGCUGCUAAGGUCAACCUCAGGAGUGAUUCUAUUUUACUGAUGUCUGAUCAUUCAAUAUUUCCCCAUGUUACACCUAAAGAGGAACUGUGCAUAUGCGUUGAAAUAAAGCCCAAAUGUGGAUUCCUUCCAGUUUCAGAAUUUAUUAUAGAAAGUAAUGCUCUUAAAAGGAGAACCACUCGUUUCAAGAUGCACCAGGCUCUGAAGUUUCAUCAAGGGAAGAUAUCAUAUAUAAGUGGAUAUGAUCCACUUGAUUUGUUUUCUAGGUCUAAAGACAGAUUAGACAAAGCAAUCAAGGAUCUUUUUAUGACCCCACAGAAUAACUUUCGAGUUUUUGUGAAUGGCCGUCUCAUAUUCGGGGGCUUGGGUGGUGGUGCAGAAUCUACAAAUUCUAAAGCUGGUCAGGCAUUUGAAGAUGCACUCAAGAAUAUAAUUUUUGCAAAAGAAGAAGGGAUGCGUACGGAAUUUUUUCUUGAGCUCAUUUCUGAGGCAGUUUUCAGUUCAGGAUUGCUAAAUCGACUUCUUGAAGUCCAGAAGCUUGAUAUUUUUGACAUUGAGGGUGCAAUUCAUGUGUAUUAUAAUGUUAUUUCUCAGCCUUGUAUGGUUUGCAGAGAUUUAGGCAAUGACUUGUCAAAAAGGUUUAACACCUUGCAUUCUAUUUCAAUGGAAGAAAGUUGGAAGAUAGUGAGGGACUAUUUAAUAGCUGCUACUGCAAAGGACUUGAGUAUGAUGAUUAGUUUUAGACCUCGAGAAGAUGGGAAAUCGGAAUCUUCAUAUAGUCUUGUCUCCUUAAAGUCCACCAACCAAAAUUUUGAUUACAAGGCAUCUUUCAUUGACCUGGACCUGAAACCUCUAAAAAAGAUGGAGUACUACUAUGAAUUGGACAAGAAGAUAGUCAGCAGUUAUGUAAAGAUGGUAAAUUCAGGAAAGGGAAUGGCUUGUUCAGAUUAAUUCAUUGCUGCAGAAGAUACUGUGCACGGAGAUGUUCUGGGAGAGGCGUGCAAAAUAGGUAGACAUAUGGAGGCACAAGAGAGAGGAAGAAGCAGGAAGUGAACAUGAAAUUCCAUCCUCAGGGAAACAUUAUUUUCUUUAUUAGAAAAGAUGCUGUUCAGUUAUGCAAUUUAGGCGGUCCUCAUUAAUCAAAGAUUCUGAUCUUUCCUUUGCUCUCUCAUAAUUUGUGCAAAUGAAUGACUUCCUGUAGAAAAGGUAACAGUUUUUUUAUACAAUUGGAUGGAUUUGGGGUUCCCUUUGCUUGAAACUUGCUAAUCCAAGAAUACUAAUUCCAUUACUCCAAUACAUUCUCAAUUUCUUGAUUUAAGUUACCAGAUUUUAAGGAAAGAGUUAAGUUAAUUAGUUAUUUCCUUUAUUAGAGUAGGUUGUAUAUAUGCCUGCUGUAAUCUCCAUUAGUUUAUGCAAGAAUUUCAGAAUUUCAUCCAGCAUUUUUGUGAAUGCUUAGAGGAACUGGUAUUGGAGGUUGUCUCAUUUAGUUGCAUUAUUUUAGUGGCUAUCUGUGGGCUCUUAUUUACCUAGACUAGACUAGACUAGACUAGAAAGCAGUCCUUUUCUGCCUUCCAAAAAUAAAUUCAGAGAGAGAAGGUUAAGAGAGGGAAUUUGCUGUUUAUCAUGGGACUUUGUCUGGUAUGGCCUCCCAAAUAGUAGGAUGUUCUUUACUUUUUAGCUCAUUUAUAAAAAUGUUGUGCAUAAACACAUCUAAAAUUUAUUGAAGGUUUGAAGAUACAGUUAGAAUGUGUAAUUGAAUUAUUGAACCAAGAAGUAUAAUCUAUUUGGUAAGUCUUCUGUCACAAGGUACAAAAUUACUUCAUAAUUGCAUUUUUUUUGGGAGAUAUAGCUGGAAGAGUCUGAUGGUUCAGCAUGCUUCUCUCAUUUAAAACUCUCAAUCCGAGGAGUUCUUGCCUCAAGCAAAAUGGAUACAUGGAAAAGCUACGGGGUCUUGCUUCAAAGUCAGGAGUAUUCUGUACUUGAAUCAGCAAGAAAACAGUGGUGUCAGUGGAUCUUCGUUGUUUCAAGUGCAGAUUGAAGGUGAUGAAGUUAAUAUCAAGAGUAGAAGGGAUUAACUCUAUUGUCUUUGAUGUUGUUAAAAGUACAGUGACAGUAAUUGGCGAGGCUGAUCCAGUAUGUAUCAUCAAACAAGUUAGGAAAUUCAGAAGCUCUGCACAAAUAAUAAGUAUAGGCCCUCCCGAGCAGGAAAAGAAGAAAGAAGAAAAGAAAGAUGAGAAGAAGGAUGGUAAGAAAGAUGAGAAAAAGGAUGCUGUUUGUUCUCUUCCCAGUACUACUUGUCAGAGAUGUCAUGUCUGGUAUGUGAUAGGGGAAGAUCACUAUAGUCAUUGCAACAUCUUAUGAUCAAAAUUUCUUAUACUUUUCUGUUUAUAAAUCUCCAUCUAUGGCUAUUUGUGAUGUGAAUCUAUCAUUGUGCAACAAUUCUUUGCCACUUGCAUCCAUCGUCACAUAAUAUAAAUAUUUCUGCUUUAGAAUUUA